CAGGACUCUAGGGACAGAAGUGGUGGGGCAAAGGAAUCAAAGGUGGCUUCUUGGCUUGGAAAAGUGAGGACAGGAAUCCCCACAGCUGGGCUGACUUCGUGGGACAGAGAGCUUCAUCUGUCGGGUGCCGGAGCCUCUGGGCGGAGGAAGAAGAAACGGAUUCACAGGUCCAGUUCACCUGACACGGAAGCUGCAGAUUAAAAGAAAGUGCACAGUGAAGACACAAAGGCAGGAAGACCAGCAUCCCCAACAUCUCUUCACUGAAUACACCUCAACUCAGAGGGGAUGACUUGAAGCUAAGUUAAGUUCUGAGUCUCAUUUUGCCUUGGUUUAGGGUUCACUGUACGUUAGAUUGACACAUGAUAGGAACAUGUAUUUAUGAGAUGCGGCGAACAUCCAUAUGCACCGUGAUGAUCGAAGCAAGGUAAUUAGCACAUGGAUCACCUUUGAUGUGUUAAGAUGUGGAUGUAAAACUUUCUCAUGGGCUAAUGUAUUUGACCAUUUGGUCCUCGCCUGGUGGAGCUAAUUUGAGAGAUUGUAGAACUUUUGGGGUGCAGGGCUUAUCCACAGAAGAGGAAGAAGUUGGAAAGGUGGGCAUAAGAGGUUGGAAGGGAUCUCAUUUCUCUGAGCCUUAGGCAUGCCUCAGACAGGAACAGCAGGGACUCGGCUCUACGGUGCCCCCCUUUUAAGACAUGUAAUCCAGACAGCUCCCCUUUCCUCUACGCUCCACACUGAAAAUGUUAUUGUACUAAAGAUGCAAAUGGAGCUAAAAUUAGUGUAACUCCACUCCCCCAAGGGUACCUACACCAUUUCCUGAAGCAAACGCAUUUACAUGAUUUUAUUCUAAGAAGAAAUAUUCACUCAACAUAAAAAAAUUAUUAAAUAGAUAAAGUGCCUCUUAAGCACAUGUUUCUGCCGCUCUCCAUUGUCUUUGUGAGCUCAGUGGCCAUUCAGCCGUUCUACUUUGUGAAUUUUGCUCUGGUUUCAGUGUGGUAGACAUGGAAAUAAUUUCAGCCAAAGAAAAGGCAGACACAGUGGUAUGGUUCAGGCCACAGGAGCCCCUUUACAGAUGAGCACACCCCACUGCUUCCUUAUCCAGCUGAUGUCUGAAUUAGACCACCUCAAUGCUGUACAAAAUAAUGUUUUAAAGUAGUAAAACUGUACAGGCAGAACUCACACAUGCUCAGACAUCAUGAUCUACAAGGAAGAUGGCUCAGGCCUCUGCCCUUUCACCAUGUGGAAAUGCCAGGAGUAGCGCCAUGUGCUUUGUGACAUUACUGUGACUGUUGUUCUUUCAUUUUGUGUGCAGCUGGUCUGUUGGGACUGUGUGGCCUUGGGGACAUAGUUAUGACAAUGUUGUGGUGGCUCCAGCCAAGCUGACCAAGGACUGGCUUCCCUGUUUUAAAUUGUGUUUUCU
ensembl:lncRNA